rnacentral:rRNA from 1 species
UAUAGAGGUCUCAAGCGUUGUUCGGAUUCAUUGGGCGUAAAGGGUGCGUAGGUGGCGGGGUAAGUCGGGUGUGAAAUUUCGGAGCUUAACUCCGAAACUGCAUUCGAUACUGCUGUGCUUGAGGACUGGAGAGGAGACUGGAAUUUACGGUGUAGCAGUGAAAUGCGUAGAGAUCGUAAGGAAGACCAGUGGCGAAGGCGGGUCUCUGGACAGUUCCUGACACUGAGGCACGAAGGCCAGGGGAGCAAACGGG